GAUGAAGAACGUAGUGAAAUGCGAUAAGUAAUGUGAAUUGCAGAAUUCAGUGAAUCAUCGAAUCUUUGAACGCACAUUGCGCCCGCCAGUAUUCUGGCGGGCAUGCCUGUUCGAGCGUCAUUUCAACCAUCAAGCCCUGCUUGCGUUGGGGUCCUGCGGCUGCCCGCAGGCCCUGAAAACCAGUGGCGGGCUCGCUAGUCACACCGAGCGCAGUAAUACAUCUCGCUUUGGGCGUGCGGCGGGUUCUUGCCGUUAAACACCCCCUUUUUACCAAGGUUGACCUCGGAUCAGGUAGGAAUACCCGCUGAACUUAAGCAUAUCAAUAAGCGGAGGA
rnacentral:misc_RNA from 1 species